rnacentral:rRNA from 1 species
CAAGCGGAGGAACAUGUGGUUAAUUCGAUGAUACGCGAGGAACCUUACCUGGCUUAAAUGUAGAGUGCAUUUUUUAGAGAUAGAAAUUCCCUUCGGGGCUUUCUGCAAGGUGCUGCAUGGUUGUCGUCAGCUCGUGCCGUGAGGUGUCGGGUUAAGUCCCAUAACGAGCGCAACCCUUAUCGUUAGUUGCCAGCUGGUAAAGCAGGGGACUCCAGCGAAACUGCCACCGUAAGGUGAGAGGAAGGUGGGAUGACGUCAAAUCAGCACGGCCCUUAUGUCCAGGGCUACACACGUGUUACAAUGGCCGGCACAGAGGGCAGCUACCUGGUGACAGGAUGCUAAUCUCGAAAACCGGUCUCAGUUCGGAUCGAAGUCUGCAACUCGACUUCGUGAAGCUGGAUUCGCUAGUAAUCGCGCAUCAGCCAUGGCGCGGUGAAUACGUUCCCGGGCCUU